rnacentral:rRNA from 1 species
UACGUAGGGUGCAAGCGUUAAUCGGAAUUACUGGGCGUAAAGCGUGCGCAGGCGGUUUUGUAAGUCUGUUGUGAAAUCCCCGGGCUCAACCUGGGAAUGGCAAUGGAGACUGCAAGGCUAGAGUUUGGCAGAGGGGGGUAGAAUUCCACGUGUAGCAGUGAAAUGCGUAGAUAUGUGGAGGAACACCGAUGGCGAAGGCAGCCCCCCUGGGUCAAAACUGACGCUCAUGACACGAAAGCGUGGGGAGCAAACAGG